GACGAACGCUGGCGGCGUGCUUAACACAUGCAAGUCGAGCGGUAAGGCCCUUUCGGGGGCACACGAGCGGCGAACGGGUGAGUAACACGUGGGUGACCUGCCCUUAGCUCUGGGAUAAGCCUGGGAAACUGGGUCUAAUACCGGAUAUGACUCCAUAACGCAUGUUGUGGGGUGGAAAGCCUUGUGCGGCUAGGGAUGGGCCCGCGGCCUAUCAGCUUGUUGGUGGGGUGAUGGCCUACCAAGGCGACGACGGGUAGCCGGCCUGAGAGGGCGACCGGCCACACUGGGACUGGGACACGGCCCAGACUCCUACGGGAGGCAGCAGUGGGGAAUCUUGCGCAAUGGGCGAAAGCCUGACGCAGCGACGCCGCG
rnacentral:rRNA from 1 species